UGGCUCAGAACGAACGCUGGCGGCAGGCCUAACACAUGCAAGUCGAGCGCCCCGCAAGGGGAGCGGCAGACGGGAGAGUAACACGUGGGAACGUGCCCUUUGGUUCGGAACAACCCAGGGAAACUUGGGCUAAUACCGGAUACGUCCGUAAGGAGAAAGAUUUAUCGCCAAAGGAGCGGCCCGCGUCUGAUUAGCUAGUUGGUGAGGUAACGGCUCACCAAGGCGAGGAUCAGUAGCUGGUCUGAGAGGAUGAUCAGCCUCACUGGGACUGAGACACGGCCCAGAGACCUACGGGAGGCAGC
rnacentral:rRNA from 2 species